UGGCUCAGUGGUCAAGAGCACUGGCUGCUCCUCCAGAGGACCUGGGUUCAACUCCCAG
rnacentral:tRNA from 1 species